rnacentral:rRNA from 3 species
CAAGUCGAACGAACUCUGGUAUUGAUUGGUGCUUGCAUCAUGAUUUACAUUUGAGUGAGUGGCGAACUGGUGAGUAACACGUGGGAAACCUGCCCAGAAGCGGGGGAUAACACCUGGAAACAGAUGCUAAUACCGCAUAACAACUUGGACCGCAUGGUCCGAGUUUGAAAGAUGGCUUCGGCUAUCACUUUUGGAUGGUCCCGCGGCGUAUUAGCUAGAUGGUGGGGUAACGGCUCACCAUGGCAAUGAUACGUAGCCGACCUGAGAGGGUAAUCGGCCACAUUGGGACUGAGACACGGCCCAAACUCCUACGGGAGGCAGCAGUAGGGAAUCUUCCACAAUGGACGAAAGUCUGAUGGAGCAACGCCGCGUGAGUGAAGAAGGGUUUCGGCUCGUAAAACUCUGUUGUUAAAGAAGAACAUAUCUGAGAGUAACUGUUCAGGUAUUGACGGUAUUUAACCAGAAAGCCACGGCUAACUACGUGCCAGCAGCCGCGGUAAUACGUAGGUGGCAAGCGUUGUCCGGAUUUAUUGGGCGUAAAGCGAGCGCAGGCGGUUUUUUAAGUCUGAUGUGAAAGCCUUCGGCUCAACCGAAGAAGUGCAUCGGAAACUGGGAAACUUGAGUGCAGAAGAGGACAGUGGAACUCCAUGUGUAGCGGUGAAAUGCGUAGAUAUAUGGAAGAACACCAGUGGCGAAGGCGGCUGUCUGGUCUGUAACUGACGCUGAGGCUCGAAAGUAUGGGUAGCAAACAGGAUUAGAUACCCUGGUAGUCCAUACCGUAAACGAUGAAUGCUAAGUGUUGGAGGGUUUCCGCCCUUCAGUGCUGCAGCUAACGCAUUAAGCAUUCCGCCUGGGGAGUACGGCCGCAAGGCUGAAACUCAAAGGAAUUGACGGGGGCCCGCACAAGCGGUGGAGCAUGUGGUUUAAUUCGAAGCUACGCGAAGAACCUUACCAGGUCUUGACAUACUAUGCAAAUCUAAGAGAUUAGACGUUCCCUUCGGGGACAUGGAUACAGGUGGUGCAUGGUUGUCGUCAGCUCGUGUCGUGAGAUGUUGGGUUAAGUCCCGCAACGAGCGCAACCCUUAUUAUCAGUUGCCAGCAUUAAGUUGGGCACUCUGGUGAGACUGCCGGUGACAAACCGGAGGAAGGUGGGGAUGACGUCAAAUCAUCAUGCCCCUUAUGACCUGGGCUACACACGUGCUACAAUGGAUGGUACAACGAGUUGCGAACUCGCGAGAGUAAGCUAAUCUCUUAAAGCCAUUCUCAGUUCGGAUUGUAGGCUGCAACUCGCCUACAUGAAGUCGGAAUCGCUAGUAAUCGCGGAUCAGCAUGCCGCGGUGAAUACGUUCCCGGGCCUUGUACACACCGCCCGUCACACCAUGAGAGUUUGUAACACCCAAAGUCGGUGGGGUAACCUUUUAGGAACCAGCCG